GACGAACGCUGGCGGCAUGCCUAAUACAUGCAAGUCGAGCGAAUGAUGAAGAAGCUUGCUUCUUCUGAUUUAGCGGCGGACGGGUGAGUAACACGUGGGUAACCUACCCUAUAGAUUGGGAUAACUCCGGGAAACCGGGGCUAAUACCGAAUAAUACAUUUUCCUUCAUGGGGAGAUGUUGAAAGAUGGUUUCGGCUAUCACUAUAGGAUGGGCCCGCGGCGCAUUAGCUAGUUGGUGAGGUAACGGCUCACCAAGGCAACGAUGCGUAGCCGACCUGAGAGGGUGAUCGGCCACACUGGGACUGAGACACGGCCCAGACUCCUACGGGAGGCUG
rnacentral:rRNA from 1 species